GUAGUAUUCCCUCCGUCCCAAAAUUCUUAUCUUACAUUUGUUUAGAUACGGAUGUAUCUAACACUAAAAUGUAACUAGAUACAUCCGUAUUUAGACAAAUUUAAGACAAGAAUUUUGGGACGGAGGGAGUACAAA
rnacentral:pre_miRNA from 1 species